GACGAACGCUGGCGGCGUGCUUAACACAUGCAAGUCGAACGGUGAAGCGCCUUCCUUUUUGGUGGGUGUUUAUGAGUGGCGAACGGGUUAGUAACUCGAUAGUAACCUGCCCCCUCCUUCUGGAUAACCGCAUGACAGAGUGACUACUACAGGAUAUUCUGGGCCUGUCGCAUGAUUGGUCUGGGAAGGAUAUUGUGUCGGUGAGGGAUGGGGUCGCGGCCUAUCAGCUUGUUGGUGGGGUAAUGGCCUACCAAGGCGGUGAGGAGUAGCCGGCCUGAGAGGGUCGACGGUAACACUAGGACUGAGACACCGCGCCGACUACUACAGGAGGCAGCAGUGGGGAAUAUGGCACAGGGGGAGGAAGGCUGAUGCAGCGACGCGGCGUUGGGGAUGGUCGUCGUCUGGUUGUGAUCCUCUUUCGCGAGAGAAGCAGGGCUGACUCGUUUGUGCGUGGGUUGACGGUAGCUAGACAAAAAGCGCCGGCUAACUACGUG
rnacentral:rRNA from 1 species